AACAGAAUUACAAACAGAGGUCUACGGCCAAAAGUCUACAAAAGACUGGCUCUUAAAAAUGAAUUGUCCUACGACCUACAAGUCGGACACGUUCUCCAAUCUUAUGACUUCACCUCUGCAACUCCUCAAGGCCAACCAAAGCUAUCUGGUCGCUCCGUCCACCAGGGACCUGAAAUUUUAAUCCCACAACCGGGAUGAGACGAUGUCUCAGCAAGUUCAACCCCCUAAACCCCUAUUAGAAAGAAAAUACGCCCCGAGUGGCCUAGUCACAUCACACAGAAGACUUAUCUCGCCUCAGCCUUCAUCUGCAGGUUAGCACAAUUUAUAUAAUUCAACCACGUACAAUUAUGAUAACCAAACAACCAUGGCACAAUCACAUUAUCAAAACAAUUCAACCACUUGGAUCGUCUCAGCGAUCAAUCGACUGGGCCGAUUACAUGUCAUUCUAGCAAAUAACUCAUUGCUCUCAAUCCCGGCCCUAUAGGAAGGUUUAACAAACAGUGACAAUCACGGCCCCACUCGACACGACCUUUAAUUAGGUGGUCCAUCACGGUCUCACUGGGCACGACCUCUAAUAGGUGGUCAAUCACGGCCUCAUUAGACACGACCUCUCCUAGGUGGUACAUCACGGCCUCACUGGGCACGACCUCUCAUAGGUGGUUCAUCACGGCCCUAUUAGGCACGACCUCUCAUAGGUGGUCCAUCACGGCCUCACUAGGCACGACCUCUCAUCGGUGGUUCAUCACAGCCCUAUUAGGCACGACCUCUCAUAGGUGGUCCAUCACGGCCUCACUGGGCACGACCUCUAAUAGGUGGUUAAUCACGGCCUCACUGGGCACGACCUUUCCUAGGUGGUACAUCACGGCUUCACUGGGCACGACCUUUCCUAAGUGGUACAUCACGGCCUCACUCGGCAUGACCCCUAAUAGGUGGUCAAUCACGGCCAAUCUCCCAUCAAUUUCUACACUUAGGAUUUUAUAAAAAAAAAAAAAAAUCUCUAUUUAUCACAAUCACACUCCAUUUGCCACAAUCAAUCAUCAAAUUCAAAUUAUGAAUACACAGUAGCGAUCAGCACGAAAUUCUGAGAGAAUAAGGUUCCCAAAUAAUUUUCAGAAUUUAUUAAAUAAUUAAAUUUAUUCCGAAAAUUAAUUAAAUAAUAAUAUCCAUAUAUUUCACGAUCCACGCUCAAUCUAUAAUAUCCAACCAUCAAUUUCGAAAUCCGAAUGCACAGCAGCGAUCGGCACGAAAUUCUAAGCAAUUGGGGUCAAAAAUAAAUUUUUCAUUUUUUUUUAAUAAUAAUAUUUUAAUAAUUUCGGAAUAUAAUAUAAUAUUAUAAACUCCAGAAUUCGAAAUCAUUAAAUAAUUCAAAAGUAAAACCCUAUUAUGUCACAUCAAGGCUUUAUAUUAAAAUAAACAUACUUAACUUUAAACUAAACACACUUUAACUUAAUUAAACAUCUUAAUAUAAUCCUCAACCAAAUAAACUAAUCUAACCACCUAAACUUACUUAACUUAGACUAAGCACACUUAGGGCAUCAUUAACCGUCUAAUCAAGAUUUAGUGAGCUAAACUCACCGGAUUAGCGAGCCGAGCGGACCAAAACGACGAGGGCGACGCGAGGAUCGACUUUCCUCAAGGCGGGCCGAGCAUCCGGGCUCGGGAAGGCGGCCAAAACGGGUCACGAGCGGGCUGCAAUACCCAUUUUUCCCAGCUUCUGGUUGCGGCUGGACGGUGGCUGAUCGGCGGCAGUUCAGGCGCGGGGAACGGCGGAGAAGAGGGGCGGCAGCUCGCCGAUGGCUCACGG
rnacentral:lncRNA from 1 species